rnacentral:rRNA from 1 species
GAUGAACGCUGGCGGCGUGCCUAAUACAUGCAAGUCGAGCGAACAGACGAGGAGCUUGCUCCUCUGACGUUAGCGGCGGACGGGUGAGUAACACGUGGAUAACCUACCUAUAAGACUGGGAUAACUUCGGGAAACCGGAGCUAAUACCGGAUAAUAUAUUAAACCGCAUGGUUCAAUAGUGAAAGACGGUUUUGCUGUCACUUAUAGAUGGAUCCGCGCCGCAUUAGCUAGUUGGUAAGGUAACGGCUUACCAAGGCAACGAUGCGUAGCCGACCUGAGAGGGUGAUCGGCCACACUGGAACUGAGACACGGUCCAGACUCCUACGGGAGGCAGCAGUAGGGAAUCUUCCACAAUGGGCGAAAGCCUGACGGAGCAACGCCGCGUGAGUGAUGAAGGUCUUCGGAUCGUAAAACGCUGUUAUUAGGGAAGAACAAAUGUGUAAGUAACUAUGCACGUCUUGACGGUACCUAAUCAGAAAGCCACGGCUAACUACGUG